rnacentral:rRNA from 1 species
GGUGAACGCUGGCGGCGUGCCUAACACAUGCAAGUCGAACGGACAAGAUGAAACCUAGUGAUUCUUGUUAGUGGCGGACGGGUGAGUAACGCGUGGGCAACCUGCCUCAUACAGGGGGAUAACACUUAGAAAUAGGUGCUAAUACCGCAUAAGCGCACAGUUUCGCAUGGAACAGUGUGAAAAACUCCGGUGGUAUGAGAUGGACCCGCGUCUGAUUAGCUAGUUGGUAGGGUAACGGCCUACCAAGGCAACGAUCAGUAGCCGGCCCGAGAGGGUGAACGGCCACAUUGGGACUGAGACACGGCCCAA